GGGCCCGUUGCCUAGCCUGGAUAGGGCACCAGCCUCCUAAGCUGGGGUUCUCCGGUUCAAAUCCGGACGGGCCCGCCA
rnacentral:tRNA from 1 species